rnacentral:rRNA from 1 species
UGCGUAGGCGGUCCGGGAAGUUGGGUGUGAAAUCCCUCGGCUCAACCGAGGAACUGCGCCCAAAACUGCCGGGCUUGAGGGAGACAUAGGUGCGCGGAACCUAGGGUGGAGCGGUGAAAUGCGUUGAGAUCCUAGGGAACACCAGUAGCGAAAGCGGCGCACUGGGUCUCUUCUGACGCUGAUGCACGAAAGCUAGGGGAGCGAAGAG